GACGAACGCUGGCGGCGUGCUUAACACAUGCAAGUCGAACAGAAAGGCCCUGCUUGCAGGGUACUCGAGUGGCGAACGGGUGAGUAACACGUGGGUGAUCUGCCCUGCACUUCGGGAUAAGCCUGGGAAACUGGGUCUAAUACCGGAUAUGACCUUCCAUGUAGUGUGGGGGGUGGAAAGAUUUAUCGGUGUGGGAUGAGCCCGCGGCCUAUCAGCUUGUUGGUGGGGUAAUGGCCUACCAAGGCGUCGACGGGUAGCCGGCCUGAGAGGGUGGACGGCCACAUUGGGACUGAGAUACGGCCCAGACUCCUACGGGAGGCAGCAGUGGGGAAUAUUGCACAAUGGGCGGAAGCCUGAUGCAGCGACGCCGCGUGGGGGAUGACGGCCUUCGGGUUGUAAACCUCUUUCGACAGGGACGAAGCUUCGGUGACGGUACCUGUAUAAGAAGCACCGGCUAACUACGUG
rnacentral:rRNA from 1 species